rnacentral:lncRNA from 1 species
GCAGCAGGGUGAUGAAGAUUCUCUUUUAGGCCUCAAGCAUCCAAUUAGUGGUGAAGAACUCCUGCACAGCCUCCACAAUUUUGGAUUGGAUAAUGGCUCAGUACCUCUCAAAGAACAAAGGAGGAAAGUCAUCUGGAUCCAGAGCUUUGUCCUCUAUCGUGGACCAAACCACUCUCCUUAUCUUGUUAGCCAACACUGUCCUGAGUAGAUUAUUGUUCUGCUCGAUGAUCAGACUAAGGGGAGGCAAGGGCUUAAAGGGGCCGCCCCCACCUAAGCUCAUUAUCCAUCUUGAUCUAAAGAAAUGAACAAUAUUCUACCUGACAUUCUCUUCUCCAUCAACCAAUCAGCUACUUCUAUCCCUAACAGUCUCGAUUUGGCUCC